UCAGCCUGGUUGGCAAUCAGGUGUCGAGUGCAAGUGCACAAGGGAGCUUGACUGUGAGAGUGGCAGCUCGAGCAGGGACGAAAGUCGGGACUAGUGAUCCGGCGGCUCGUUGUGGAACGGCCGUCGCUCAACGGAUAAAAGGUACCUCGGGGAUAACAGGCUGAUCUUGCCCAAGAGUCCAUAUCGACGGCAUGGUUUGGCACCUCGAUGUCGGCUCGUCGCAUCCUGGGGCUGGAGUAGGUCCCAAGGGUUGGGCUGUUCGC
rnacentral:rRNA from 14 species